rnacentral:lncRNA from 1 species
GUGAUCAGAUUGCGGCGAUCUACUACCCGCACAAAGGUAUUGUGUUCUGAACACAUUACAGUAAAGUGUUUACUGUUCGAAUUUGAAUUUCAAAUAUAAAUGUAUGCAUGCUAUAUAUUAUAUUUAGAUCAUAGUGUAGGAUAAAUUCAUAUUAAUUAAUUAGAUUAAUUAAUAUUUUUCCACUGUAAAAUUAUAAUUUUAAAAAAAAUUUAAAAUUACCAUUUUAC